GGAGACAAGCUCCUGGUACCUACGGCAGGAUCAGUCUCUGAACAAAUAAUUCUGCUCUUCCCUGUUUUCAGCGUUUCUGUGGUUCCCUCCCUCAUUUUACAGCUGGGAGCACCAGGGACAGGGAAGAAGGAAGUCCUGCAGCCGGGCCGGUUUCGUUGCUUUAAGCAACAGUGAUGUUUUUUCUGCUUUUCUGAAGGGUGUUUGUCCUGCCUCUAGCUGUUCAAAGUCCUAAUAUUGUUAUUGCAGAGGAAGGCAUUUGACACAGCUCCAGAGCAGUCACAGCCAACACCUCCAUGGCCAUGGCAUUUUGGGCAAGUGGUUUGAACAAGUUAUAUCCCAGGACCAUUGGCUCUGGAAGAGAAGAUACUGCCAGCUGUGAGCACAGUAAUAAGCUUUCACAGGCCUGAUCCAAGCUUCACUUCCAGCAAAGAUUUGUCCUGAGGGGGUGAAGCAGAGGCCAAGCAUCCAGAAUGUAACUCUAUCAGUUCUCCAGCACACUGCUACGUUACCAAGAAGGAUCAGAGCACAAAGCACAUCUGUCCCCCAGUGCUUCCAUCCAGCUCCUUCCAUCAGAGCAGAAAAAUCAGGAGAUUUGUCUCAGAUAUCUGAGGCCAGACAGCAGGUCUGUUCCCCUCCCCAAAUGUACAAGACAUGCAAGGACAUACAAAGCUCUUCUCAUCAGCCUCAUGCCAGCACUCGGUGACCAGAUACUUUUCCUUGACUCUAAAGAUGUACAGUACCUCAAAAUGUGUUUGUUUGAUGGAAUAACUGUGAUUUUGUUCCUUUUUGUAAAUUUUCCCACACUCAAGAUAAUGGAAGAAAAGACAUCAAGAGAUACAAAAACAGCUGUGCA